CCCCUCCCUUAAGUGUUGUGGGUAUGGCUGCUGUCACAUGUUUGUCAGCAGGUGACACAGAGGAGAGGGGCUAUGUCUGUGUUUGGUGUUCUGACCUGUAAACAUGUGAUGAUUACUAGCCUAAACAUU
rnacentral:snoRNA from 1 species